AGUCGAGCGACAGAUAAGGAGCUUGCUCCUUUGACGUUAGCGGCGGACGGGUGAGUAACACGUGGGUAACCUACCUAUAAGACUGGGAUAACUUCGGGAAACCGGAGCUAAUACCGGAUAACAUUUGGAACCGCAUGGUUCUAAAGUGAAAGAUGGUUUUGCUAUCACUUAUAGAUGGACCCGCGCCGUAUUAGCUAGUUGGUAAGGUAACGGCUUACCAAGGCGACGAUACGUAGCCGACCUGAGAGGGUGAUCGGCCACACUGGAACUGAGACACGGUCCAGACUCCUACGGGAGGCAGCAGUAGGGAAUCUUCCGCAAUGGGCGAAAGCCUGACGGAGCAACGCCGCGUGAGUGAUGAAGGGUUUCGGCUCGUAAAACUCUGUUAUUAGGGAAGAACAAAUGUGUAAGUAACUGUGCACAUCUUGACGGUACCUAAUCAGAAAGCCACGGCUAACUACGUGCCAGCAGCCGCGGUAAUACGUAGGUGG
rnacentral:rRNA from 1 species